UGGGAAUGUGCCCUGAGGAACUUCAGCCUUCCUAAUAGAGGCUUCCUUAUGGUAAUUAUUAUCCUUCACAGGGGCAUCAUCACCGUCACCGUGUGUUUCCAGAGGGAGCCACUGGCCUUCUGCCACCAGUACACCUGCCACGGGGGCUAUAUGGGUGCCAAGGCCGUGCUGGAAAUCAUGCCCCCAGGCCCCAGAGCUGCACCCCUGAGACUCGCAGGAGACUGUACCCUGAUGAGAAGAACCGGCAGAGGUUAUCCAGGGAGUAGAUUUCAGAGCCUCCCUGAGAGGCAGAUCUUGGCAUCUGCAAUUUCUGGCAUCACAACCUUCCUAGAGAACAAAUCAGACAAAAACAAGACUCCUGUGGAUGGUUUCUGCCUCUCUGUCUCUCCAGUUACCUACUGGAAGCAGAGAAGAGAUGAAGAACGAUGCAGAGCAAUGGUGGAGAGUGUGUAAGGCCAGCAUUGGAAUGACUAUUGCCUCUGGGAGCUGAAGAGAACUUCAGGAAGCACUGUGGAGGUUGGUGACCAAGAGCAGUAAUGGGGAUCAGUGACUGGUGUCACCUGGUAAGAGGUGCAGGAAGCAAACCACCCACCACUAACACAGGCUAUGGAUGGGAGGGUCAGUGUUAGGAAGCAACACCUGGCCCUCACCUUCCGGGGCCCUACCCAGGACAGUACUGUAAGUCAUGGAAACUGUUGAGUUUAUGGAGGGUUGGGGAAGGGAGAGGAAGAAGGGAAGUAGAUCUCUGGUGGUAAUUGUUCAUUGGUAUUAACUGUAUGUGAACUGGUACUCAACGGGGUGCCAUCCCCCAACCAUUCUGCCAAUGCUCCCAUGCCCCAGCCCUGCUGGAGGGAGCCCUGAAUCUCUGCUCCAUUCUGACCCUUAUGCCUGCUCCACUCCCCGUUCUCAAUGGUGUGGGGGGCAGUCCCCUCCAGACUCCCAGCUCUGCAGGGCAGGCUCCCUGGUGUGUCCUAGGGAGUCCUGGACCUUGUCAUUUGCGCUGCCCCCAGUACCCUUAGUGGCUCUGGCUUUUCCAUCUACCCUGCAGGUGACCCUUCCUGUGUGCAUUGUUGUCCCCGGUUAGAGUGGGAGCUCCAUAAGAGCACUGACUAUAUUUGUAACUGCAACUUUAGCAUCAUUCUUGGCACAUAGUAAGCGCUUAGCAAAUGCUCCUUUAUUUGUUCAUUUGUUUGUUUGUUUAUUUGUUCAUUCAUUCAUCCAAUUCAUUUGUUAAUUCAUUCAUUUGUUCAUUCACUUCUAAAUAAAACUGCUUGUGUUUUGAGCCUCA
rnacentral:lncRNA from 1 species